rnacentral:rRNA from 1 species
UACGAAGGGGGCUAGCGUUGUUCGGACUCACUGGGCGUAAAGGGCGCGUAGGCGGCUUUAUAAGUCGGGGGUGAAAGCCUGUGGCUCAACCACAGAAUUGCCUUCGAUACUGUAGAGCUUGAGACCGGAAGAGGUAAGUGGAACUGCGAGUGUAGAGGUGAAAUUCGUAGAUAUUCGCAAGGACACCAGUGGCGAAGGCGGCUUACUGGUCCGGUUCUGACGCUGAGGCGCGAAAGCGUGGGGAGCAAACAGG